GUUAGAAGUUUCCAGUUUCUCAGAGGGAGAAAGCAUUCCCCAAGGGGGGAAGGGGAGCAGUGAAUCUAAUAGAAGAGAGCAAGAGGAACAACAGGGAGGGACCAGCUGUUCCCAGGAAAGGCAAGGGUUAAGUUCUAGCUCAGAUUCGGAGGAGGGGAGAUACAAGCCAGCUCUAGCCAGGAGGUUAGAAAAAAGAGCGGGAAAGCGAAGGGAAGGGCGCCUUCGCCAUUUUGAGAGUGGCUGGUCACGGAGAAGCAGAGCUCAGAAGGUAUCUGAAAGAAGUGACUCUGAG